GACGAACGCUGGCGGCGUGCUUAACACAUGCAAGUCGAACGGAAAGGCCCUGCUUUUGUGGGGUGCUCGAGUGGCGAACGGGUGAGUAACACGUGAGUAACCUGCCCUUGACUUUGGGAUAACUUCAGGAAACUGGGGCUAAUACCGGAUAGGAGCUCCUGCUGCAUGGUGGGGGUUGGAAAGUUUCGGCGGUUGGGGAUGGACUCGCGGCUUAUCAGCUUGUUGGUGGGGUAGUGGCUUACCAAGGCUUUGACGGGGAGCCGGCCUGAGAGGGUGACCGGCCGCCGUGAGACUGAGACACGGCACAAACGGCUAAGGGAGGCAGCAGUAGGGAAGCUUCGGCCAUGGACGAGAGUCUGACCGAGCAAGGCCGCGUGAGGGAAGAAGGGUUUCGGAUCGUAAAACGCGGUUGCUAGGGAAUAACGUUGGUGAGAGUGGAAAGCUCAUCAAGUGACGGUAACUACCCAGAAAGGGACGGCUAACUACGUG
rnacentral:rRNA from 1 species